CACGUAGGGGCGAGCGUUGUCCGGAUUUAUUGGGCGUAAAGAGCUCGUAGGCGGUUUCGUAAGUCGGAUGUGAAAACUCCAGCUCAACUGGAGACGCCAUUCGAUACUGCGAUGACUUGAGUCCGGUAGGGGAGGUGUGGAAUUCCGUGGUGUAGCGGUGAAAUGCGACGAUAUCAGGAGGAACACCGGCGGCGAAGGCGGCACUCGUGGGCCGGUACUGACGCUGAGGAGCGAAAGCGUGGGUAGCAAACAGG
rnacentral:rRNA from 1 species